rnacentral:rRNA from 1 species
UACGUAGGGGGCAAGCGUUGUCCGGAAUUAUUGGGCGUAAAGAGCUCGUAGGCGGUUUGUCGCGUCGGCCGUGAAAACCUGCAGCUUAACUGUGGGCGUGCGGUCGAUACGGGCAUCACUGGAGUUCGGCAGGGGAGACUGGAAUUCCUGGUGUAGCGGUGAAAUGCGCAGAUAUCAGGAGGAACACCGGUGGCGAAGGCGGGUCUCUGGGCCGAAACUGACGCUGAGGAGCGAAAGCAUGGGGAGCGAACAGG